rnacentral:rRNA from 1 species
GAUGAACGCUGGCGGCGUGCCUAACACAUGCAAGUCGAACGGAGAUUACGGACGGAAGUUUUCGGAUGGAAGACUGUAAUUCUUAGUGGCGGACGGGUGAGUAACGCGUGGGCAACCUGCCCUAUACAGGGGGAUGGCAGCUGGAAACGGCUGGUAAGACCGCAUAAGUCGGUUAAAUCGCAUGAUUUGAUCGGGAAAUGAGCAAUCAGGUAUAGGAUGGGCCCGCGUCCGAUUAGCCAGUUGGCAGGGUAGAAGCCUACCAAAGCGACGAAGGGUAGCCGGACUGAGAGGUCGGACCGUCACAUCGGGAAUAAGACCCGGCCCAAAAUCAUACGGAAAGGAGCAGACGGGGACACUGCACACUGAAGCAAAAUCUGAUGCAGCGACGCCGGGUGAGUGGAGAAGUAUUUCGGUAUGUACUGUUCUAUCAGCAGGAAAGUUGAUGACGGUACCGGAUAAAGAAGCCCCGGCUAACUACGUG